GCCUUCUCCAGCAGGUGGGGUCUUCCUCCAAUCUCACUCCUCUCCGAGCCUCCAUUGGUGGGCCAGCCGCCCCCCAGAGGAUCCCUCACAGCUCCCAGGCCACGGUCAUUACGAUGUUUUCAUGAAGGUGCCUUCCCCACUGGAAUGGAGCUCCGUGGGGUCAGGGCACUUCUCUGCUUUCCUCAUCCCUGCGUCCCCAGCACAGACCAGCCCCUCCACACACACACCCAGGGGGCCUAGCGCCCAGCAGAAACUGCACAUAUGUGUGGAGUGGAUGCACCGGUCAACCCUGGAAUCCGUCCUGACUCCAGGCAGCCUCCACCUUACUUUGUAGGGAAUCGGGGAGAGGGAGAGACAUCUGGAGGCUGCAGCUGCUCCUCAGCUCACCAGACGGCAAAACUAGGCCCUCCUUCCAGGGCCCUCAAGACAUGGCACUGGCGAGACGACUGAAGCCCUUUAGGUGUAGCGCUUCGUUUAAUCCUUAACUCGAGAUUGGUUCCAUUCACGGAAUGAGAUGGAUGUCUCGCGUGGGUACAAGCAGGAUUUGAACCCAGGUCUGUGGUCCGUCUGACCUCAAGGCUCCCUCUGCCAAUCACCGCCUGCCACAGAAAAAGCGGCGAUAGUUCAGGAAGAGCAAGCCAGGAACAUCUCUCCGUGGAGACUUGUAAAGUCAACUUUAUUGAUGUAUAAAUGACGUACGAUAAAAAAGAUACCCACUUAAAAGUGACAGUUCGUUGAGGGUUUUUUAGAUUUUUUAAUGGUAAAAUAUAUGUAACAUAAAAUUCACCAUUUGAACCAUUUUGAAGUGCACAGCUCCAUGGCAUAAAGUUUAUUCAUAUUGUGCAACCAUGGCCACCAUCCGUCCCCAUAACGUUUUCAUCAUCCCAAACGGAAACUCUGUACCCAUUGAACUGUCACUCCCCAUUCCUCCUCCCCAGCCCCUGGUGAUCUCUCUUCCACUUUCUGUCUCUAUGAAUGUGACUACUCUGGGUACCUCACAUAAGUGGAAUCAUACAGUAGUUGCCCUUUUGUGUCUGGCUUAUUCACUUAGUUUGAUGUCUGUUCCAUGAGUUUUGACAAAUGUGUUAAUCUGUGUAACCACCACCCCCAAUCAAAAUAAUUUAAAAAAUAUUUUCCUCUCCCCAAAAACUUCCCUUGUGCCCCUUUGCAGAUAAUGCCCCACCCCCAACUCCAUCCUCACCCAACCCCAGCCCUGUGAAACCUCUCAUCUGCUUUCUGUUACUACAGACUUGUUUGCUCUUGAAUUUCAUAUAAAUGGACUCAUACAAUAUGUACUCGUCCAUCCGGGCUUCUUUCACUUACCAUAAGGCUUUUCAAUAGUUCGUUGCUCCUUAUCACUAAGUGGUAUCCUGUUGUGUGGGUAUACCACAAUCUGUCUUGUCUUUACACCAGUUGAUGGGCAUUGGGUUUUUUCCAGUUUGAGGCUACUAUGAAUAAAGCUACUAUGAACAUC
rnacentral:lncRNA from 1 species